rnacentral:ncRNA from 1 species
UACUAAGUGUAGCAAAUAUCUCAGAAAAGUGUUAUAAGCUUUGAAUGGAAGUCCCGGUAAACGGCGGCAGUAACUCUAACUGUCCUAAGAUAGCGAAAUUUCUUGUCGCAUAAAUAGUGACCUGCAUGAAU